UACGAAGGGGGCUAGCGUUGCUCGGAAUCACUGGGCGUAAAGCGCACGUAGGCGGAUUGUUAAGUCAGGGGUGAAAUCCUGGAGCUCAACUCCAGAACUGCCUUUGAUACUGGCGAUCUCGAGUCCGGGAGAGGUGAGUGGAACUGCGAGUGUAGAGGUGAAAUUCGUAGAUAUUCGCAAGAACACCAGUGGCGAAGGCGGACUCACUGGCCCGGUACUGGACGCUGAGGUGCGAAAGCGUGGGGAGC
rnacentral:rRNA from 1 species